CUCGGAUCAGGUAGGGAUACCCGCUGAACUUAAGCAUAUCAAAAUCGGAGGA
rnacentral:rRNA from 1 species